rnacentral:rRNA from 1 species
GGGGAACCUGUGGCUGGGAUCACCUCCUU